rnacentral:misc_RNA from 1 species
UACACAAUUUGUAAAUGAGGCCAUGCUGGGUCCAUCAUUGGUUCGUCAUCUUCCAAGUCAAAACCUUCCAAAACUUUGUUUUCACGAGGCUGGGGAGUAGGAGGUCUGAAUAAAUUUGUGGAUACCAUCUUAAUUACUUCUUGCAUGACUGUUUCUGUAAAUUUCCCGUUUGCAGAAGUAACAUAAUCAACUAGCUCCACCAAUGUCUGACGCUUAAUCUCUUUCUCUUUCGUGUUUUUAGUUGGGUCAGAAAAGUCAAACAAGACACAACACAAGUUCAGCUUUUUGAUGAACAAGUUUUGCUUCUCAGAAGGUGGUACAUCCUUCAAAUUAGGCAAUGCCUCAACCGAGAAAACUGCUGCAUGUCCAUUCACCUUAGCAUUUAUAGCCUGUGGAAGUCUAUCUCCAUGAUUCAGUCCUGGAGCUGAAGAACCAGUGACACCUGAAAGCGAUGGAGCACUCAAAUUCCCUGGUCGGGAAUUAGACAAGUCACUGCUUCUUG